rnacentral:rRNA from 1 species
UACGUAGGGUGCAAGCGUUAAUCGGAAUUACUGGGCGUAAAGCGUGCGCAGGCGGUUGUGCAAGACAGAUGUGAAAUCCCCGGGCUUAACCUGGGAAUUGCAUUUGUGACUGCACGGCUAGAGUGUGUCAGAGGGGGGUAGAAUUCCACGUGUAGCAGUGAAAUGCGUAGAUAUGUGGAGGAAUACCGAUGGCGAAGGCAGCCCCCUGGGAUAACACUGACGCUCAUGCACGAAAGCCAGGGGAGCGAACGGG